rnacentral:rRNA from 1 species
CAGGCCUAACACAUGCAAGUCGAACGGAGCCGUAAGGCUUAGUGGCAAACGGGUGCGUAACGCGUAAGCAACCUGCCCUCAACUGGGGGAUAGCCCGGCGAAAGCUGGGGUAAACCCGCACGGUCCAGUUCUAUCACCUGGUGGGAUUGGUAAACAUUUAUGGGUUGAGGAGGGGCUUGCGUCUGAUUAGCUAGUUGGGGGGGUAAGGGCCCACCAAGGCGAUGAUCAGUAGGGGUUCUGAGAGGAUUGGCCCCCACAUGGGUACUGAGAUACGGACCCAACUCCUACGGGAGGCAGCAGUAGGGAAUAUUGGGCAAUGGGCGCAAGCCUGACCCAGCCAUGCCGCGUGGAGGAUGAAGGCGCUCAGCGUUGUAAACUUCUUUUAUCGGUGAAGAACGUACUCUAUGCGUAGGGUAGUGACGGUAUCCGAGGAAUAAGCACCGUCUAACUCCGUGCCAGCAGCCGCGGUAAU